rnacentral:tRNA from 1 species
GCCCCCGUAGCUCAGGGGAUAGAGCAACGGCCUCCGGAGCCGUGUGCGCAGGUUCGAAUCCUGCCGGGGGCACUA